rnacentral:rRNA from 1 species
UACGAAGGGGGCUAGCGUUGUUCGGAAUUACUGGGCGUAAAGCGCGCGCAGGCGGUCUUCCAAGUCAGUGGUGAAAGCUCGGAGCUCAACUCCGGAACUGCCACUGAAACUGUGAGACUAGAGUACGAGAGAGGUGAGUGGAAUUCCCAGUGUAGAGGUGAAAUUCGUAGAUAUUGGGAAGAACACCGGUGGCGAAGGCGGCUCACUGGCUCGUUACUGACGCUCAGGCGCGACAGCGUGGGGAUCAAACAGG